CAGUAGCCGCGGGAAUACGUAGGUGGCGAGCGUUGUCCGGAAUUAUUGGGCGUAAAGGGAGCGCAGGCGGACAUAUAAGUCCAUCUUAAAAGUGCGGGGCUCAACCCCGUGAGGGGAUGGAAACUGUAUGCCUUGAGUGCAGGAGAGGAAAGCGGAAUUCCCAGUGUAGCGGUGAAAUGCGUAGAUAUUGGGAGGAACACCAGUGGCGAAGGCGGCUUUCUGGACUGUAACUGACGCUGAGGCUCGAAAGCCAGGGGAGCGAACGGGAUUAGAUACCCCCGUAGUCCCUGUCUCUUAUACA
rnacentral:rRNA from 1 species